AAACAUUCCCUCCCUUCUCUAUCACGCACCUCGUCGCAUUCUCCCUUCUCCCAUGGAAAAAAACCCUAAAAACCCUAUUGCACGUCCAUGGAUCCCAUGAAAAAAAAAAUCCUGCACAUCAUCGUGGGUGCCCUCUUCGCCCUCAGCCUCUAAGCACAAUCCUCCAAUGCCAUACACAUACCAUUUUCUUUUCGAGCAUCUUUGUGAUUUUGUUGUUCAAAGGGAUGUCUUCUAGUCAGAAGAGAACAAAAAAAAGAGCACCACACCCAACACUUCACUUACAAGAUGAGCCAGAGGUACCAAUGCAUCCUAUGCCAGCAGCUGCCAACUAUCCUUUUAGCAAUCAAGAAGAACAUAUACAACCACCAAUAACUGAUCUAGUAGUUGCAGGUUAAGGCUCUACAACUCAGAAAAACAAAAAAAGAGGAAAGUACAAAGCACACAAUAUCUCUCAUUUGACAAAGAAUGGUACUGAGCUGUUGGUGGUUCAUAUACCUUGUGGAGGAUUUGGUGCACCUGUUGGAGAGCAUUCAACAGAUUUAUGCAAUUUCAUUAGAUGGGUGGUCAGAGAUAUCAUCAAAUGAUCAAUUGAUGAAUGGGAAGAUGCAUUUAAAGGACUCCAACAUCUUGUGUGGGAACAAAUUCAGAUGAAUUGAGAAAUUGGAGAGAUGACCCCAUCGAGUUUUGUAUGAAGACAUACACAUGGCACGAUGAAAACACUAUCUUGGUAUCAUGACAAUGCAUCACGAGAGGUCUUUGUGAGUAUAAAUCUUAUAAUUUACUAACUAUCACCUUUAAUUCGAUUAGUCACAAGUUAUCUUAUACUGUUACGUAUAUAAUUGGUGCAUACCUACCUAAAUUAGAGAUCUAUUUACUGACAUUACUUAAUUAAUUCUUACAUAAAUAUAGGUGUAAUUAGCCGACUUAGAGUCACAACCCACCACCCCAGGUCAAGAGCCUUUGCACCUAGAUGAGGAAUAUGCACAUGUAUUAAUGGUACGGUCUGGAUAUUUUCAUGGAUGUGUGGAGCCUAUUACAAAUCUCCGAUGGUCAAGACACAAUGCAUAUUCAUGUUCCAAUUGGUCAGUAGAAUAUGAUGCAAAAAUAGGUGGCCACAUUGCAAGAGCAACUACUGAACAAUCAAAACAACUUGGAAAGCUAUAUGAACUUGUUUGAGGCUUUCAUGGCAUAGUUCCUGGGUCAGAGUGUAGGGGCAGGUCCUUCGACAUCUACUUGAUUGGAUGAUGAUUGUGAGAUGCAAUUUGCAAACCAGAUUAAUAGCCAACAACCUUAUAUGUCAGGACAGCCAACAACCUUAUAGGAUAGAUAGCCAAUAGCCCCACAUUCUUGACAGUCAUCUGCCCUACAUGUCGGACAGUCAGUAGUCCUACAUAUCAGACAGUCAGCAGCCCUACAUGCCAGAUACCCAGCCACCUUCAUAACCAAGGGUUAGUAAGGUCUUUUUGCAUUGCUUUGUCUCAUCAAGCAUCAUAUUUGCAUUGUCCAAAAGCUGCAAAAUAAGACAUGAAAAAUCAUUUAUAUCAGAAAUCAGAACUCUUCAAAUAAGUAUGUAUGUUCUAACUUGUUCCAUUACAUAAUAAACAUGAAUGCACAAAUUGCAUAAUGAAUAUGAGGGAAAGCAAUUAGAAUGAGUAAUAGAAACCACUACUUACAUGGAUCAUGAGAUAUAAUCAGACCCCUUCCCUUAUAAGUUCAUUGCUUGGAUCUUUAGG